CACAUUGCAUGGUGUGUUGGGAAAGCCUUUGCGGCAUGGGAUGGGGUCGCGUCCUAUCAGCUUGAUGGCGGGGUAACGGCCCACCAUGGCUUCGACGGGUAGCCGGCCUGAGAGGGCGACCGGCCACAUUGGGACUGAGAUACGGCCCAGACUCCUACGGGAGGCAGCAGUGGGGAAUAUUGCACAAUGGGCGCAAGCCUGAUGCAGCGACGCCGCGUGAGGGAUGGAGGCCUUCGGGUUGUAAACCUCUUUUGUUAGGGAGCAAGGCAUUUUGUGUUGAGUGUACCUUUCGAAUAAGCACCGGCUAACUACGUGCCAGCAGCCGCGGUAAUACGUAGGGUGCAAGCGUUAUCCGGAAUUAUUGGGCGUAAAGGGCUCGUAGGCGGUUCGUCGCGUCCGGUGUGAAAGUCCAUCGCUUAACGGUGGAUCCGCGCCGGGUACGGGCGGGCUUGAGUGCGGUAGGGGAGACUGGAAUUCCCGGUGUAACGGUGGAAUGUGUAGAUAUCGGGAAA
rnacentral:rRNA from 1 species